rnacentral:rRNA from 1 species
CCUACGGUAGGCAGCAGUGAGGAAUAUUGGUCAAUGGACGAGAGUCUGAACCAGCCAAGUAGCAUGAAGGAUGACUGCCCUAUGGGUUGUAAACUUCUUUUAUAUGGGAAUAACAUGUUCCACGUGUGGGAUUUUGUAUGUACCAUAUGAAUACGGAUCGGCUAACUCCGUGCCAGCAGCCGCGGUAAUACGGAGGAUCCGCGCGUUAUCCGGAUUUAUUGGGUUUAAAGGGAGCGUAGGUGGAUUGUUAAGUCAGUUGUGAAAGUUUGCGGCUCAACCGGAAAAUUGCAGUUGAAACUGGCAGGCUUGAGUACAGGAGAGGUGGGCGGAAUUCGUGGUGUAGCGGUGAAAUGCUUAGAUAUCACGAAGAACUCCGAUUGCGAAGGCAGUUCACUGGACUGCAACUGACACUGAGGCUCGAAAGUGUGGGUAUCAAACAGGAUUAGAUACCCGAGUAGUC